ensembl:lncRNA
CGGAUUUCAAAAGGGAGGGGCUUGAGAGGGCUGCUCCCCAGCUCAGGUGGCAAAGUGUUGCUCGCUUCUCACGGACAGUUUGGCCAAGCGCUUCCGUUUCCAUUGGUUCCCAAAAUGAUUUGCAAACUGUAUAUAGAGGAAUUGCUCACCAUGGAAAUUCACCCACUUCCAGGAGAGAAUGCAGAAGUCAUUCCAUGCUGACAACCAGUUUAAAUAAAACCACAGAACAGCAUUUCAGCAAUCAGCAGCUUCCUAGAAAAGGGCCCAUUGGCAAGCAUCAUGGAGAAAGAAACAAGGAAGACAGAUGAAUCAGGACAAAGAGAAAGGAAAAGAGGAUGCAAAUCAGAGGAGCACGGAAGAGUCUGAAAUAAAGGCAAAGAGACAAGAAUUCUGAUUAAGAAGCCUUGAAGAGAUCAACAAGGGCCCAGGCUGUUGCUCAGAGGGAUAGCAUUUGCUAAACAUGUGCAGGGCCUCAGGUUUGAUCACAGCAGCACAUCCACACAAAAGCCACUCUAUCACUUCCUGCAGACCCUUCCCCUUUUAUAUAAUUAGAGAAAUACUUCCAAUAGAUGCAUGGUUAUUUGUUGGGGUGGUGGUGGUGAGAAAGGGUCUCAUUAUGUUGAUUAGGUUGGUUUUGAACUUGCUAUGUAACCCAAGCUGGGCUUGAACUUGUGAAUCUCCUGCCUCAGCCUCCUGAGGGCUGGGAUUACAUCCAGGCAGUACCGUGCCCAGCUAGAUACAUGGCUUUUUUAUAACAACAUCUUGCUGUACUGACCUAGAUGUAAGGUGAAAUUCUGUCUUGAGAUAAAGGACCCAAGUCACAAAUCUUCAUUUAUCACAACUAUACUCCCUUAAGCAAGAACUAGGCAACCAUAGGUCUUAUGCUCUCCAGAUACAUGGAAGUAAUUCUUCCUUUAUAUGGGCUAUAUAAUCUUUUAAGACUUGGUUUAAGUUAGACAUUUUUAAUAAGAAGAUUCCACACAGAGAAAAUAUGUGAAACUCAGUCUCCAUAUCUGCAAAAUGGGGAUAAUUAAGAACAUCUGCCCCAUUGAGUUUUGGGGAGGGUUGAAUGCAAAACAUUUAACCCAGUGCCUGGCAUAAAGUUCAGUGCACAGUGAAUGUUUAAUAUUCAUAAUGAAUUUUAAAUUAUGCACAUUGGCUUGUGAACACAGAAGUUUUCUCCAGAGAAUACAAAGAACUGAUGAGGUCAGUUGCAUGGGGAGAGACGCUGGAUGACUGGGGGGAAAAUGUGAGAGGCAGAUAUUUCACACUGCAUAAUCUUUCAUAUCUUUGGAAUUUAAAACCAUGUAAAUGUAUUGCACAUGCAAUGAAGCAUUAAAUGAGUAAAUACAUAAAGUAAAAUGAAAGGCAUUCUGCUAUUCCCAGCUUAAACUUAGAAGUCUCUCAUGAAAUUCAGUUAAGCUUUGUGCAGAUGCGGGUAAGCCCAUCAACAAACAUUAUUGAUUAAGAGGCUGGCAUAUGGUGAAUAAGGCAUGGUCCCUUGUUCCAAGAACCAUGCAGUCCACUUAUCAAGGUAUUAAAAAUACACAAAAAACAAGAACAAUA